UACGUAGGGGGCAAGCGUUGUCCGGAAUUAUUGGGCGUAAAGCGCGCGCAGGCGGUCUUUUAAGUCUGGUGUUUAAGUGCGGGGCUCAACCCCGUGACGCACUGGAAACUGGAGGGCUUGAGUGCAGAAGAGGAGAGCGGAAUUCCACGUGUAGCGGUGAAAUGCGUAGAGAUGUGGAGGAACACCAGUGGCGAAGGCGGGUCUCUGGACAGUUCCUGACGCUGAGGCACGAAGGUCAGGGGAGCAAACGGG
rnacentral:rRNA from 1 species